GUCGGCAUUGUUCAGCUGAAGUGAUGUGACUCCUGGGCUGCUGGGGGAAUUAAAGAGGUUGUGAAGACUUGUCUUCAGUAAGACAGACUAAGAUGACCACGCAAGGAAAAGCAGAGACUAACUGCUGAGAACUGAGAGCAGGGAGUCCGGGUGGCACUGGGUUUACCGUGUCCUCAUCUGCGGCCCAGUCUGCUGACCUCGUGCCUAGUCACAGCCUGAUAAAGGAAGUGUUUGACAAGUUCCUGCCUUGCAGGCUAUGCAUCAGCAUGGAGGAUGUUACUCCAUUCUGGCUGUGGGGACCCAGUCCUGAUCAUUGGGCUCUAGUACCGACAACAGGAUCUCAUCCCCAGCAUCCCGCUGUGUUCCUAUUAUUUGGCUUCUGCCUCAUUUCUGUUCCUGAAUUCUUACUCUGGGCACAGUGGUUGGCUGAUGAGACAGUCCCAGCAGCAGUUUCAAGUUCUGUCCGUUGUCACCACUCCGCUUGACACUCCGUCACUUUUUUGAGGUGUUACUGGGCCAGCUCCUUUUCUCCCUUUGAGGCAGCUCUCUGAGCCUCAUUGUCCCCCUGCAAUCUGACAUCACUGGAGUGACUGCCCAUCAGCUAUGUCUACAUUGUUAGUACAUGUCUGAACCCUAGGGAUGGAUGGGGUCAAAGGUGCACCCUAGAAGCAAUCCCAGGAUAUUCUGAAUCCCCAGUAUGGACCAGUCGGGAAGCAGCGUUGUCUAGCCACUCUGCCAGGGGCCUUGCAUCCCGGCUCACACCUGCUUAGACGCCAUGGGUAGCAGUCACCGUUGGUUCUUCACCCAGCUCCUGAUGAGAACCCAGCCUAAGACACCUGUUGACAGAGACGGUUGCUUCUGCUGAUGGAGACAUGGGGAGAAGAGACUGUGCCCAAUACUUCAGUCAGGGUUAGAGAUGAGGAGGUGAGCUCCCCUGCCCCAGGGCCCAUUCCAUGUGUUAGUACUGGGGCUGAUGGAUGGCAGAUGGAGACAGCAUUGUCAUGCCCACCUCCUCUGGGUCUGAUGUGGAAAGCGAUGCUGCAGUUGGAUACAUGGAGGACAUUAUCCUGGAAGAUGGAUGAGGACAACAGUGGGGGAUAAUUCUCUACAAACUAUAAAGUUCAAGCCUGUCAUACUCUACUCUCCAACUCAUUGGUUAAGUAUAUUCCCUAAAAUAUUCUCAGGCACCUCCCUGUCCCCUGCCAAGCCACUGGAAGGCUCAGGGCUACUGUGCUGGUAUUCUUGAGUUUACAAUAUUAGUCCUCUAACAUUGCCUACUUAACCACCUGUGUUCUAGACUGCCUACUUAUCCCAGACUCUUGUUUCUGUUGAACACUGGCUGACUCUAGAGCCCUGGCCUCAGGCCUGCUCCUGGCCAUUUUUAACCAAGAUUCCCUCUAUGGUGUUGAAGCAGGACAGCAACAGAACAGAAACAGUCAGGCAGGGCCAGUGAGCCAGACCUCAGAAGGGCAAGAUAUUAAGGGAUGACCAGCUAUCAGGUAUCAAGAACAGACAAGGAAGUCGAAAGUCACCGAAAAGAUACACUUGUCCAGUCUGUAGAUAAUGAAGCAGAGAGUGCUGGAUUAGACAACAGGUCUGGAUUCAAAGAGAACUCAGCUGGCUGGAAUGUGAGCCCCAAAGAGCAACACGGAAUUUUAAAGGAAUAAAAGUGCUCCCACCUUUGGUAUCAUUGUACCAUAAGCAGUGAUGAAAGACACUUGGCUUGAGAACAAUUUUAUGUGAAAUAUAUCUUGGGGUUCAGUUUAGCACAACUCCAGUGUAAGCCUAGACUACUAAUCCUGGGCUAUGGUUAAAGGAGGAGCCCUGG